rnacentral:rRNA from 1 species
GGAGUCUAGCAUGUGCGCGAGUCAUUGGGAUAUUGAAAUGAAACCUAAAGGCAAAAUGAAAGUAAAGGUAUACCUUUUGUGUGUACUUAGGGAAGAUGAGUUAUUCAAUGUAAUGGCUCCGCAUUCCCGGGGCGUCUCGUUCUCUCAUUUCAACUUGUUGCUAUGACGAGAUGAGGCGCACCUAGAGCGUACACGCUGGGACCCGAAAGAUGGUGAACUAUGCCUGGUCAGGACGAAGUCAGGGGAAACCCUGAUGGAGGUCCGUAGCGAUUCUGACGUGCAAAUCGAUCGUAAGAACUGGGUAUAGGGGCGAAAGACUAAUCGAACCAUCUAGUAGCUGGUUCCCUCCGAAGUUUCCCUCAGGAUAGCUGGCGCUCGUUUAUUAUAUAGUAAUUUCAAUUACAUUUACGAGUCUCAUCCGGUAAAGCGAAUGAUUAGAGGCAUUGGGGUCGAAACGGCCUCAACCUAUUCUCAAACUUUAAAUGGGUGAGAUCUCCGGCUUGCUUAAAUAAUGAAGCCGCGAGAUCGGAUCGAAGGGUGCCAAGUGGGCCAUUUUUGGUAAGCAGAACUGGCGCUGUGGGAUGAACCAAACGUAAAGUUAAAGCGCCUAAAUUAACGCUUAUGGGAUACCAUGAAAGGCGUUGGUAACUUAAGACAGCAGGACGGUGGCCAUGGAA